rnacentral:tRNA from 1 species
CAGGGAGACACAACUGAUUAUGAUGCUUGAAUAAUUAUUUUUAAGCCAUGAUCCUGUCACCUUAGGUCGAUCGGUACCUCUAUUUAAUACUAAAAACAAGAAAUUAUUUUUUAGAUAAAUUCAGUUCCUAAACUUUGUCUAGGUCACACCCAACAAGGGUACUCCUGGGCCAUUAGCUCAGGUGGUUAGAGCGCACCCCUGAUAAGGGUGAGGUCCCUGGUUCAAGUCCAGGAUGGCCCAUUCGGUGUUGGGGGUAUAGCUCAGUUGGUAGAGCGCCUGCUUUGCAAGCAGGAUGUCAGCGGUUCGAGUCCGCUUACCUCCACUGAUCGACCUCCUAAUAGUGAAGACUAAGGGGAGUUUUGUUGUAUGUGAUCUAGAAUUAGUUCCUAAUGAAUGAACCUAGCUUCUUAUCAUUUUUGUUAAAAGAUUAGCUUGAUUGAUAGGACGCUGGGCUCCCUGCAAUAUCAAUUGCAGAGAUGUUCAGUAGAACCUUGACAACUGCAUAGGUGAGUCUGGAAAGAAUAAAGCAUCUCAUGGAUGCAUUAUUUUCAGCCUAAUUUGAGAUUUAAUGACUUGUUCAAAUCUCUUAAAUUUUGGUUGUAUUAUAAUGUUCAAUUCGUAAGCAAGAGCCGAGACUCUAUGACGCUCUUUCAUUGCUUUAAUUGCAAUGAGAGUUUGAUUUUUAAUUCUUUUGACUUUAUCGGAAUUUAGAAUAUUUUUUUCUAAUCACUAAUGAAGAAUAGAAUUAAAAAGAAUAGUGUUGACAACACAUUGCGUUGUAGAGAUUUGUAU